rnacentral:rRNA from 3 species
GGACUACCAGGGUAUCUAAUCCCGUUCGCUCCCCUGGCUUUCGCGUCUCAGCGUCAGGCGGGGUCCAGGCGCCCGCUUUCGCCACGGGCGUUCCGGCCGAUCUCAACGCAUUUCACCGCUCCACCGGCCGUUCCGGCGCCCCCUACCCCCCUCCAGGCCGGUCGUAUCGGCGCCGCUUCCCCGGUUGAGCCGGGGGCUUUCAGCGACCGACGUGCCGGCCCGCCUACACGCGCUUUAAGCCCAGUGAUUCCGAAUAACGUUCGCACGGUUCGUCUUACCGCGGCGGCUGGCAC